GUGUUUUCUCCAUCCACACCACACAAACCCAAUACAACAAACUCAAUUCUUAUCAGAGAAGAGAAGAGAAGAGAGUUUCAAUCAAUUCAGCCCAAUUUACCUUGAAUGCCCCUCCCCAAAAUCAGUGAAACCAAAAAACACACACCUUUGCCAUCUCCUACAUGCAUAUGCAUAUGCAUAGAUAGAGAUACACAUAGAUCUCUUCAUCACAUCAUGAUGAUGAUGAUGAUGAUGAUGAUGAUGAUGAUGAUGAUGAUGAUGAUGAUGAUGAUGAGAGUAUAAUAAAAACAAGAACAACAACUCACACACACACACUCUGUUUUCCAUUCUCCGAAGCUGUUUGUUUGUUUCUAUUUCCCUCUUCUUCUUCUUCUUCUUCACGCUGUUUCUCCUCCUCGUACAACCUCGUACCAUGUCGGGAUUCAGAGACGGCCUCUGUUUUCCGCAUCCCAUCGUAGCCGUCAAUGUCGCCCUCGCUCUUCUUGACGUGAUUGUUGCUUCCCUCGCCUCUUUCCAGUUGCUGAGGAUUCACAAGAGGAACUCACACCAUGGCUGGACUCGGCAAAAGGUGUUUCAUCUACUGAUUGGCUCUUCUAAUUGGGGUUACUUCAUUUACUUGGCAUUGACUCUUGUUGCUGCUUGCAAGGGAUGGACAUGCUGGUCACACUCUUGUGGUUUUAUCUUCAUGGCCUUCCCCAAAGUAAUUCUGUUUGCAGCAUUUCUUCUUCUGUUAUCCUUCUGGGUUGACCUUUGCCAUCAGCCAAACGAUGAUGAUGACUAUGAAGGAAGUUUUUCAGAGGAACUUUUGCUAGAAAAACCUUCAAAUAUAGCAAAUUUAGCAAACAUGGAGAGACAUAGAAAAUGGUUUCCUGUUCGGUUUUCUCGUUUUGGAAAUCGACAAAAGAUUGUGAUUUUGGUUACAUUGCUAGUUUUCAUCACCAUGAUGGCAUUUGCUGUAAUAAUCUGGAUUGGGCUAGGAAAAAAUCCAAUUGAUUCUGAAGCGGCAACUCGGGUGUAUUUAGAUCUUUCGGCUAUUGGAAUGCUUUUCUUAGCAGGAGCAUUAGCAUGUUAUGGAAUCCUAUUGUGCGUGAAAAUGAGUAAAGUGAGAGCUGAGAAACCUUCCUCUGAAAUGUGGAAGGUUGCAGGUUUAACUAUCGUUUCUGUGCUAUGCUUCACAUCAAGUUCCUGUGUAGAACUUUUAACCGAUAUACCUAUGCUGUAUCACUGGCAUCAGCGGCAAUUCAAUGAUGUUUAUACCUCUCUUUUACUCAUUUUGUAUUAUUUUGUCGGUUCAUCAAUGCCAUCAGCAGUGAUACUGUGGGUAAUGAGAGAAUUGCCACCUGUUGAAGCUCGUGACGUACUAGAAGAGUCAAGUACAUUAGCUUUUGUUGCCAAUAGUUCAGUUGCAAUUCAUCAUCCUCAACGUUGGACUGCAGCUACAAGCGCGCAGAAUCAGGCUUGACCAUCAACACAUAAGAUUCAAAUCAUAUUGUUUCUGACGAGUAUCAUCAUACAAGACAUCAAGAGCGAGUCCCAUAUAGUCAUGUGUUAACCUUUGCAAAUAUACCUUGUUCUGCUGAAGUUUGGGCAGUUAAUUGGAAAUUCUUCAGAAAAUGAUGACCCUGGAGCAGAGAGACAGACAGAGAGUGAAAAAAUGAUGGUGGUGGUUGCAAGCUCUUAAAAGGCCUCAAGUUUCCAUCCCCACUGUAUUUUCAUUCUAAAUCUAAUUGUAUAUAGCAGCAAUUUGAUAAAUGAAAAAAGUUCUUUUCCUAGUACACUAAUUUUGGAAUGCUACUUUGGCAAUGAUGGUUGGGUAUUUCUCAUUUUGAAUAACUCAUCCGAUGUGAAUACAACUGUUGCGAAACGAGCUUUGUUCUUAUAACCUGAUUGCAAGCUGUAUCAA